rnacentral:misc_RNA from 1 species
AUUUCAUUCAGCAUUUUACAUGAUUAAUACAAAUGGAUUUUACUCCAACAUAAUCAAUGAGAAAUGCCUUCAAAGCUCAUCCACAUGUUCAAGGUGUAAAGAGUUAUAUUAUGAGCUAGUAAAUUAUCAUCUUACAAGACAAAUAGCACCAAAUUGAACAUUGAAACAUUGGAAUUUAAUCAGGAAAACUCACUUGAAAAAUCUCAACUUUACAUUGCAAUUUAUCCAACUCUUUUCGUGCAAAAUGGUUCAUUUUGCUUUGCAAGAUGAGCAUCAACCCAUGUAAACUUUCUUUGUUUGGAAUAUGGCUAAGAAGACCACGUAUAGCUGCCGUUCUGAUCUCAUCUGACCCCAGGAAGACAACCAGUAUCUGCUACAUAAAAUAAUAUAUUAUUACAAUAUUACUCAUAAUAAUCAAGCAUACAACACGCUCGCGGAAUCCACCUUUUUGUUCUGAUUGGAGUGCAGAGAGGCGGAGAUACGGAGGCGUUCGAGGUCAGGUUUGUCACCGAACUCGACACGGAACUCGGCGAGCGAGCGAGUAACCUCUGAGUCAGCCACAUCAUAGCCUCGGUCUCGUAGCAUUUCCAGAACCGUCCUCCGAGAGAGGUAAUACCUACGACUCUCUACGCUACCUUGGUCCACAAACUCGGCCAUGCAAUGGUUCGCACCGCCGCAGCCUCCGUCAUCGAGGCCACCAUAACGACCGUCCAUUGCUA